AAUCUGGAGACAGGUGCUGCAUGGCUGUCGUCAGCUCGUGUCGUGAGAUGUUGGGUUAAGUCCCGCAACGAGCGCAACCCUUGCCUUUAGUUGCCAGCAGUUCGGGCUGGGCACUCUAAAGGGACUGCCGGUGUUAAACCGGAGGAAGGUGGGGAUGACGUCAAGUCCUCAUGGCCUUUAUGACCAGGGCUACACACGUACUACAAUGGCCGAUACAAAGGGCAGCGACACUGCGAGGUGAAGCCAAUCCCGUAAAAUCGGUCUCAGUCCGGAUUGGAGUCUGCAACUCGACUCCAUGAAGUUGGAAUCGCUAGUAAUCGUGGAUCAGCAUGCCACGGUGAAUACGUUCCCGGGCCUU
rnacentral:rRNA from 1 species